GACAGAGGGUGCAAACGUUGUUCGGAAUUACUGGGCGUAAAGCGCGUGUAGGCGGCUAAGUAAGUCGGGCGUGAAAUCCCACGGCUCAACCGUGGAAGUGCACUCGAAACUGCAUAGCUAGAGUCCUGGAGAGGAAGGUGGAAUGCUUGGUGUAGAGGUGAAAUUCGUAGAUAUCAAGCGGAACACCGGUGGCGAAGGCGGCCUUCUGGACAGUGACUGACGCUGAGACGCGAAAGCGUGGGGAGCAA
rnacentral:rRNA from 1 species